rnacentral:rRNA from 1 species
AAGCAGUGAGAUUGAGUGUUAGGCAAAUCCGGCACUCUUAAGAUUGAGCUGUGAUGGGGAGAGGAAAUUGUUUCCUCGAGUCGUUGAUUUCACACUGCCGAGAAAAGCCUCUAGAUAGAUAAUAGGUGCCCGUACCGCAAACCGACACAGGUAGUCAAGAUGAGAAUUCUAAGGUGAGCGAGCGAACUCUCGUUAAGGAACUCGGCAAAAUGACCCCGUAACUUCGGGAGAAGGGGUGCUCUUUAGGGUGCAAGCCCAGAAGAGCCGCAGUGAAUAGGCCCAAGCGACUGUUUAUCAAAAACACAGGUCUCUGCUAAACCGUAAGGUGAUGUAUAGGGGCUGACGCCUGCCCGGUGCUGGAAGGUUAAGAGGAGU